rnacentral:lncRNA from 1 species
AUCCGUGGCUAAAAUUUGCGGCAAAAUUUCCCUCCAAUUUCCACUGAAAUUUAGCCACGGAUUUAGGAGCCGUGGCUAAUUUAGUGACAAAUAAAUUAGCCACGGAUAUUAGCCACGGCAUUUAGCCCUGGCUAAUAAUGAUAAUAGGGUUAGGGUUAAUGUAAAUGUAAAUAAUUAGGGUUAGGGUUAAUGUAAAUCUAAA